UGAGAUUUCCAUUGACGUUCCGUCAGGAAGACCCCUCAGAGAUGAUGAGGUAGAUAGGUCCGGAGUGGAAGCGCGGUGACGCGUGAAGCGGACGGAUACUAAUCGGUCAAAGACUUAACCGAAA
rnacentral:rRNA from 1 species